rnacentral:rRNA from 1 species
CCUAGUGUGCGAGUUGUAAAUUGCAGGUUGGAGUCUCGGGUUAGACGUGUGUGCAAGUCCCUUGGAACAGGGUGCCACUGAGGGUGAGAGCCCCGUAGCGUGCAUGUCGACACCUGUGAGGCCCUUCUGACGAGUCGAGUUGUUUGGGAAUGCAGCUCUAAGUGGGUGGUAAAUUCCAUCUAAGGCUAAAUAUUGGCGAGAGACCGAUAGCGAACAAGUACUGUGAAGGAAAGAUGAAAAGCACUUUGAAAAGAGAGUGAAACAGCACGUGAAAUUGUUGAAAGGGAAGGGUAUUGGGCUCGACAUGGGAUUUACGCAUCGUUGCCUCUCGUGGGCGGCGCUCUGGGUUUUUCCUGGGCCAGCAUCGGUUUUCGUUGCAGGAUAAGGACAAUUGGAAUGUGGCUCCUCGGAGUGUUAUAGCCUUUUGUAGAUGCUGCGUAUGGGGACCGAGGGCUGCGGCGGACUUGUUUCGUCUCGGAUGCUGGCACAACGGCG